rnacentral:rRNA from 1 species
UACAGAGGUCCCAAGCGUUGUUCGGAUUCACUGGGCGUAAAGGGUGCGUAGGCGGUCGGGUAAGUCUGAUGUGAAAUCUCACAGCUUAACUGUGAAACUGCAUUGGAUACUAUUCGGCUCGAGGAAUGGAGGGGAGACUGGAAUACUUGGUGUAGCAGUGAAAUGCGUAGAUAUCAAGUGGAACACCAGUGGCGAAGGCGAGUCUCUGGACAUUUCCUGACGCUGAGGCACGAAAGCCAGGGGAGCAAACGGG